rnacentral:rRNA from 1 species
UACGUAGGGUGCAAGCGUUGUCCGGAAUUAUUGGGCGUAAAGAGCUCGUAGGCGGUUUGUUGCGUCGGCUGUGAAAUCCCGAGGCUCAACCUCGGGUCUGCAGUCGAUACGAGCAAACUAGAGUGUUGCAGGGGAGACUGGAAUUCCUGGUGUAGCGGUGAAAUGCGCAGAUAUCAGGAGGAACACCGGUGGCGAAGGCGGGUCUCUGGGAAACAACUGACGCUGAGGAGCGAAAGCGUGGGGAGCGAACAGG